rnacentral:rRNA from 1 species
GUGUCAGCAGCCGCGGUAAUACAGAGGGUGCGAGCGUUAAUCGGAGUUACUGGGCGUAAAGGGCGCGUAGGCGGUGUUAUAAGAUUGAUGUGAAAUCCCUGGGCUUAACCUAGGAACUGCAUCGAUGACUGUAAUACUGGAGUACUGUAGAGGGUAGUAGAAUUUCCGGUGUAGCGGUGAAAUGCGUAGAGAUCGGAAGGAAUACCAGUGGCGAAGGCGGCUACCUGGACAGAUACUGACGCUGAGGCGCGAAAGCGUGGGGAGCAAACAGGAUUAGAAACCCUCGUAGUCC